CAGUCGAGCGGAUGACAGGAGCUUGCUCCUGAAUUCAGCGGCGGACGGGUGAGUAAUGCCUAGGAAUCUGCCUGGUAGUGGGGGACAACGUUUCGAAAGGAACGCUAAUACCGCAUACGUCCUACGGGAGAAAGCAGGGGACCUUCGGGCCUUGCGCUAUCAGAUGAGCCUAGGUCGGAUUAGCUAGUUGGUGAGGUAAUGGCUCACCAAGGCGACGAUCCGUAACUGGUCUGAGAGGAUGAUCAGUCACACUGGAACUGAGACACGGUCCAGACUCCUACGGGAGGCAGCAGUGGGGAAUAUUGGACAAUGGGCGAAAGCCUGAUCCAGCCAUGCCGCGUGUGUGAAGAAGGUCUUCGGAUUGUAAAGCACUUUAAGUUGGGAGGAAGGGCAGUAACUUAAUACGUUGCCGUCUUGACGUUACCGACAGAAUAAGCACCGGCUAACUCUGUGCCAGCAGCCGCGGUAAUACAGAGGGUGCAAGCGUUAAUCGGAAUUACU
rnacentral:rRNA from 1 species